rnacentral:SRP_RNA from 1 species
GCUGGGUGUGGUGGCGUGUGCCUGUAGUCCCAGCUACUUAGGAGGCUGAGGUGGGAGAAUUGCUUGAGCCUGGGAGGUUGGGGUUGCAGCGAGCUGUGAUCGUGCUGCUACACUCCAGCCUGGGCGACAGAGUGAGACCCUGUCUCAA